rnacentral:rRNA from 1 species
CCUACGGGUGGCAGCAGUGAGGAAUAUUGGUCAAUGGGCGAAAGCCUGAACCAGCCAAGUCGCGUGAGGGAAGACGGCCCUACGGGUUGUAAACCUCUUUUAUCGGGGAAGAAAAAGCGUUACGUGUGGCCCAAUGCCCGUACCCCACGAAUAAGCAUCGGCUAACUCCGCGCCAGCAGCCGCGGUAAUACGGAGGAUGCGAGCGUUAUCCGGAUUUAUUGGGUUUAAAGGGUGCGCAGGCGGAGAUGCAAGUUAGCGGUCAAACGUCGGGGCUCAACCUCGAUUUGCCAUUGAAACUGGAGCUCUAGAGUACGGGAGAGGUAGGCGGAAUGCGUGGUGUAGCGGUGAAAUGCGUAGAUAUCACGUAGAACCCCGAUUGCGAAGGCAGCUUACCAGAGCGUAACUGACGCUGAUGCACGAGAGCGUGGGUAGCGAACAGGAUUAGAUACCCCAGUAGUC